rnacentral:rRNA from 1 species
GGUAGUCCACGCCGUAAACGAUGUCGACUUGGAGGUUGUGCCCUUGAGGCGUGGCUUCCGGAGCUAACGCGUUAAGUCGACCGCCUGGGGAGUACGGCCGCAAGGUUAAAACUCAAAUGAAUUGACGGGGGCCCGCACAAGCGGUGGAGCAUGUGGUUUAAUUCGAUGCAACGCGAAGAACCUUACCUACUCUUGACAUCCAGAGAACUUAGCAGAGAUGCUUUGGUGCCUUCGGGAACUCUGAGACAGGUGCUGCAUGGCUGUCGUCAGCUCGUGUUGUGAAAUGUUGGGUUAAGUCCCGCAACGAGCGCAACCCUUAUCCUUUGUUGCCAGCGGUUAGGCCGGGAACUCAAAGGAGACUGCCAGUGAUAAACUGGAGGAAGGUGGGGAUGACGUCAAGUCAUCAUGGCCCUUACGAGUAGGGCUACACACGUGCUACAAUGGCGCAUACAAAGAGAAGCGACCUCGCGAGAGCAAGCGGACCUCAUAAAGUGCGUCGUAGUCCGGAUUGGAGUCUGCAACUCGACUCCAUGAAGUCGGAAUCGCUAGUAAUCGUAGAUCAGAACGCUACGGUGAAUACGUUCCCGGGCCUUGUACACACCGCCCGUCACACCAUGGGAGUGGGUUGCAAAAGAAGUAGGUAGCUUAACCUUCGGGAGGGCGCUUACCACUUUGUGAUUCAUGACUGGGGUGAAGUCGUAACAAGGUAACCGUAGGGGAACCUGC